CAAAAAGGGGUUUAUCGAAAAGCCAGUUUGAAGAGGUGGGUUUUUAGUACUGAUUUGAAGUUUGGUAGUGAGUCGGUCUAAUGGGCGGUGGACUUACAGUUGUCUUUCCGAAGAGGGCGCUAUCGCAUCAGUAAGAGAAGAACAGAAAGAUCACGAGUAAAAAGUUAUAAGGCCGCUGUUUGCGUUUGCCAGACCUGGUUACGGCGUGGUUACGUCACGACGUAGUUUGGCAGUUUUCCAGCUGAGGAAAGUGAAGAAAAUCUGGUGGUAACACUGGUGGUCAACAUGGGGAUUCAACGUAAAAGAGGUGUGUCCACUUUCAGGCGUUUUGGUGAAAACCGCACAUUUACGAUAAACCACGAUGUCAUCAUAAGGACGUUUAGGAAAAUUCGCUGCGCCCGAUGCCGGCUCCACCAUGCCGAAAGAUGGGGAGUUUUGGCAAAACGUCUGUGGUAUUCUAGGAGUACCAAACAGUUACAAAAACCAUCAAAUAAUCUUAAUGACUGUUAA
rnacentral:lncRNA from 1 species